GACAGAGGAUGCAAGCGUUAUCCGGAAUGAUUGGGCGUAAAGCGUCUGUAGGUGGCUUUUUAAGUCUGCCGUCAAAUCCCAGGGCUUAACCCUGGACAGGCGGUGGAAACUACCAAGCUGGAGUACGGUAGGGGCAGAGGGAAUUUCCGGUGGAGCGGUGAAAUGCGUAGGGAUCGGAAAGAACACCAACGGCGAAGGCACUCUGCUGGGCCGACACUGACACUGAGAGACGAAAGCUAGGGGAGCAAAUGGG
rnacentral:rRNA from 1 species